rnacentral:tRNA from 1 species
GGAGAGAUGCCGGAGUGGUCGAACGGGACGGUCUCGAAAACCGUUGUACAAGCAAUUGUACCCAGGGUUCGAAUCCCUGUCUCUCCGCCA